rnacentral:rRNA from 1 species
UCUUUGCUGACGAGUGGCGGACGGGUGAGUAAUGUCUGGGAAACUGCCUGAUGGAGGGGGAUAACUACUGGAAACGGUAGCUAAUACCGCAUAACGUCGCAAGACCAAAGAGGGGGACCUUCGGGCCUCUUGCCAUCGGAUGUGCCCAGAUGGGAUUAGCUUGUUGGUGGGGUAACGGCUCACCAAGGCGACGAUCCCUAGCUGGUCUGAGAGGAUGACCAGCCACACUGGAACUGAGACACGGUCCAGACUCCUACGGGAGGCAGCAGUGGGGAAUAUUGCACAAUGGGCGCAAGCCUGAUGCAGCCAUGCCGCGUGUAUGAAGAAGGCCUUCGGGUUGUAAAGUACUUUCAGCGGGGAGGAAGGGAGUAAAGUUAAUACCUUUGCUCAUUGACGUUACCCGCAGAAGAAGCACCGGCUAACUCCGUGCCAGCAGCCGCGGUAAUACGGAGGGUGCAAGCGUAAUCGGA